rnacentral:lncRNA from 10 species
GGGUACUAGAUAAGCAGUUCCUCCCAUCACCCUGGGAAAAGUGCAGAGCGGAUUGAUUUUGCAAUCUACUCAGAAAGGACUGUGGGAAUCAUGAGAUUGGAAAUGUGGUCAAGGUGAGGUCAGUCAUGGGUCAUUCAUUCAUUCCUUCUUGCAAACCUUUACCGAGUACAGACUAUGUGUCAUGCUUUUGCUUCUGGGAAGGCAAAAGUGCAUAAAAUGCAGUUUGUGACUUUGCAAAUUUCAUAGCCUAUUGGAAGAUGCUGAUGUGCAGUUUAGCAGGAAGAAGAGGUGUAACAAAAAAAUAUCCAAUCACAUAAGAAGAGGUUUAAUGAGGAAAAGAGCGAAGUGAAAUAAAAAACACACCCACAAAACAAAACAAAACAAUAAAAAAACGAAGACUUGGAAGCGUGUUGCUGUUGCUGAAGGAAGAACAGGAAACAGUGUAAGGCUGGAGAAAAUACACGAGUCAGAUCACACAGGCACAGCUUUUAAUUCCGUGGUAUACAGGCGUUGGGUACCAGCUGAAAUGAAAUUAACAAUUCUUGUGCACCUCCCAUGUGACAAUUGUAUUUAAGGCUCACAGUAAUGCUGCAUUUUUAAAUUCCCAGUUUUGCAGAUGAGAAAUAGGAUUCAAAACCUGGUAAAGAAUGGAGUUCGACAUGGCCAUUUCGGGGUGACAUUAACUUCAAAUACUGUAAUAUGUAUCUUUCAAACAUUUUACACAGGCACACAUCUCAUAUAUUCCCUACGUAAAGACAUUCAAGAAUUAGAGGAGGUAAAAUAUUUUUCUGGGCUAUGAAUAACAAGUUCAAUAUGUAGAGUGUGUAAUCAGUAUUUAGCAGUGAUUCUAAACCCAACUGAAAGUCUGUCCAAAUGUAUUUGCAUCUCAGUCCUUCCAUUUUUCCUGCCUCCUCCAUCUUCAUUCCCUUUCCUUGUAGUCCCUUCGGAUUCUCCUUUAUGUCUCCUUUUUUUCUUUCCUUUCCUCUUGUCUCAAUUGGGGGAGAUUUAAUGUGGGUUGGAUUGGUUGAAUACUGAUGUAUUACCUCUUCUUAACUUAAACAUAUUAUAGUUUGCAUGCACGAGCACGUAAGAAAAAUAACCAACAACAAAAGCAACUGUCCACCCAGAAAAUAAAUCGGUGGAUUGAGAACUCAAUAUUUUGGAGUGAGAAGUCCUGUUCUCUUUCUACAUUAAGCCUUUGCAAUGCAUGAACACUUCAGUUUUCUUAUUUGUAACUGACGAUAACUUAGACUGACCUCAUAAAAUCAUUUUGAGGAUCUCUUGGGAUGCUAGGAGAAUCUCUUGAACCCGGGAGGCAGAGGUUGCAGUGAGCUGAGAUUGCACCACUGCGCUCAAGCCUGGCGACAGAGCGAGACUCGUCUCAAGAAAACAAAAAACAAACAAACAAAAAAAUGCUGCUGUUUUCACUACAAGUGCCCAGGUCCUUCCUCUGACCCAUUUCCUACGGUGCCUGCUUUUCUGCAAGACUUUUAACUAACACUUCAACUACUGAAGCACAUAUAAACUUAUGUUGUCUGGAAUCAUAUUUAAACCAUGAAAAAAUGGUCACUUCUGAUUUUUUUUUUUCUCUAUGGAAAGGAGACAGCCCUGAUUACUAAUUUUAUACAUCUUAGCAUCUUGUUUGUUACUUUGCAUUUCCUGGCAUGUUGUUAUGUCGCCAUCUGCUGGACGAUCAGCAGGGUGUCACUGAAAACCGAGAAGCAUCGCAAAAAUUCUUCUUAGGCAAUUGAACAUGAUUUAAGUCUUCUUAGGUACAAAUCACCAUAAACUUUGUUUGAAAUAAUGACUCACUUCUUUCAUAUAUUAUGAUAUAUCCAUGAAACAAAAUACUAUGUAGUAUUUAAAGCAAUGAAAUUGUCCUGAAAUAAAUGUAGUUCCAAGAUUUAUUAAAACAUCUAAGAAUCAGGGUGCAGAACGAUGUGUAUAAUUGUGUUAUUGUUUUCAUUCCAAUAUCAUAUGUAUGUAGAUGCAUAUAUUUACAUAAUUUUCAUAGAAGACAUUGUACAUGGUGACAUUUUAACUCUUAACAGUGUUUACUUUGGAACAAAGUUAGUGAAGGUGAGGGUCUUUUUUUAAAUUUAUUUCUAUCCACAUUGUUUGAGUUUCUAAUCAUGCACAUAUAUUACUUGUAUUUGUUUUACCUUAUUUUUGAAUGUCAGUUGAGAUUAUUUGUAUACUGAGAUUUUA